rnacentral:rRNA from 1 species
CCAGGAUGUUGGCUUAGAAGCAGCCAUCAUUUAAAGAAAGCGUAAUAGCUCACUGGUCGAGUCGGCCUGCGCGGAAGAUGUAACGGGGCUAAACCAUGCACCGAAGCUGCGGCAGCGACACUAUGUGUUGUUGGGUAGGGGAGCGUUCUGUAAGCCUGUGAAGGUGUGUCGUGAGGCAUGCUGGAGGUAUCAGAAGUGCGAAUGCUGACAUAAGUAACGAUAAAGCGGGUGAAAAGCCCGCUCGCCGGAAGACCAAGGGUUCCUGUCCAACGUUAAUCGGGGCAGGGUGAGUCGACCCCUAAGGCGAGGCCGAAAGGCGUAGUCGAUGGGAAACGGGUUAAUAUUCCCGUACUUGGUGUUACUGCGAAGGGGGGACGGAGAAGGCUAUGUUGGCCGGGCGACGGUUGUCCCGGUUUAAGCGUGUAGGUGUGUGUUCCAGGUAAAUCCGGUUCACUUUAACACUGAGGCGUGAUGACGAGGCACUACGGUGCUGAAGCAACAAAUGCCCUGCUUCCAGGAAAAGCCUCUAAGCAUCAGGUAACAUCAAAUCGUACCCCAAACCGACACAGGUGGUCAGGUAGAGAAUACCAAGGCGCUUGAGAGAACUCGGGUGAAGGAACUAGGCAAAAUGGUGCCGUAACUUCGGGAGAAGGCACGCUGACAC